GAUCAGCAAGAAGGAAAUAUCAACUCCAACAUCGGCGAUGACAAUGUAAGCGGCUCUGAGAAUGUAGGUAAUUCGUCGGAUGCACAUGCCCAAUCUACUAGUGUUGAUGAACAACCAGUUUAUACUGCCGAUAUUUAUGUUCCAUGAAAUUGGCAUAAUCUUGAUAAUAAAGCAAGAGAUGUCUUAGUUGAGAAAGGGCCUAUCAGAGAGGGAAAAAUGGAAUACCAUGUAGAUGAUCCAGGAAGAAAUUUUUCAUGUGCUCAUUAUCAUAGAAAAUGCAAUGGAGAGGAACAUAAUAGGAAAUGGCUUGUUUAUUCAAAAGAUGUCAAUAAAGUUGUUUGCUUCUGUUGUAAGAUCUUCAAGUCUAGCUCCAACAGGUGUGAGAGUUCCUUAGUACGUGAUGGAUUAGGACAUUGGAGGCAUAUUAGUGAGAAGCUUAAACAUGAAAAUAGAAUCAAGCAUAUUAAUAGCAUGAACAAGUGGAAUGAAUUGAGGGUUAGACUGCAGAAGGUGGAAACUAUUGACAAGGAAUUGCAAUAUCAAAUAAUAAAGAAGAAAGAACGUGUUAGGCAAGUUUUGUUAAGAAUAAUAGCCAUUGUGUAAUAUCUUGGUAAACACAGCUUGGCUUUUUGUGGAAAUAGUGAGCAGCUUUACAAGGAUGAUAAUGGUAAUUUCUUAGCUUGCAUUGAGAUGAUUGCAGAAUUUAGUAUGGUAAUGCAAGAUGACCUUAGACGUAUUGAGAACAAAGAAAUCCAUUAUCAUUAUCUCAGUCAUAAAAUACAAAAUGAGUUGAUAUCUCUUUUGGCUUCUAACGUCACAUGUUCUAUCAUAAAGGUUGUUAAAGAGGCUAAGUAUUUCUCUCUUAUCCUAGAUUGUACCCCUGAUGUUAGUCAUCAAGAAGAAAUGACUUUUUUAGUUCAAUGUGCUAAUCGGUCUGAUGGCAAAGUAAAAAUUGAGGAGUACUUUCUGGGGUUCUUGAAAGUGGAUGACACUUCUGGCUUAGGGAUUUUUAAAGUACUACUUGAAUUAUAGUCUUUUGGCUUAAAUAUUAAAGAUUUAAGGGGUCAAGGAUAUGAAAAUAUUUCUAAUAUGAAAGAAAAAUACCGAGGGGUACAAUCUCGGUUACUUGAUAUGAAUCCAAGAGCAUUGCAUAUGCCAUGUGCUUGUCAUAGUCUUAAUCUCACUCUGUAA
rnacentral:rRNA from 1 species